rnacentral:lncRNA from 1 species
CUGGAAAAAAAGGAGUAAUUAGAAGAAAAGAUGGAAUAAUCUGAGAGAGGGUGGAGAUUUUUGGAGUCAUCACAUGGUAUGUGGAAUUGAAGCCAAGAACUGUGUGUCCUAAUAAUUUCUUUGCUGUUUUUGCUGAUCUCACAGCAAAUUAAAUGAUUUCUCCAACACAUGGGUCAUACACCCCACUUUACACAGAUUGCAGAUUGAAAGCUGGAAUUUUAAGAAUGUUACGUGGAUGUGCUGGAACCACAGAUGUUACAAUGAAGCAGAUCUCAUGUUACUUCAGCAAUCUCAGCGUGAAAGUUGAUUUCAGGUGGUGA